CCUACGGGUAGGCAGCAGUGGGGAAUUUUGGACAAUGGGGGCAACCCUGAUCCAGCAAUGCCGCGUGAGUGAAGAAGGCCUUCGGGUUGUAAAGCUCUUUUGUUCGGGAAGAAACGCGCUGGGUGAAUACCCUGGCGUAAUGACGGUACCGAAAGAAUAAGCACCGGCUAACUACGUGCCAGCAGCCGCGGUAAUACGUAGGGUGCAAGCGUUAAUCGGAAUUACUGGGCGUAAAGCGUGCGCAGGCGGUUGUGCAAGACAGAUGUGAAAUCCCCGGGCUUAACCUGGGAACUGCAUUUGUGACUGCACGGCUAGAGUGUGUCAGAGGGGGGUAGAAUUCCACGUGUAGCAGUGAAAUGCGUAGAUAUGUGGAGGAAUACCGAUGGCGAAGGCAGCCCCCUGGGAUAACACUGACGCUCAUGCACGAAAGCGUGGGGAGCAAACAGGAUUAGAUACCCUGGUAGUCCACGCCCUAAACGAUGUCAACUAGUUGUCGGGUCUUAAUUGACUUGGUAACGCAGCUAACGCGUGAAGUUGACCGCCUGGGGAGUACGGUCGCAAGAUUAAAACUCAAAGGAAUUGACGG
rnacentral:rRNA from 1 species